rnacentral:rRNA from 1 species
AGCAGUAGCCACGGGAAAACCAGCAGCCCAAGUGGUGGUCGCGAUUAUUGGGCCUAAAGCGCUCGUAGCCGGGCCGGUAAGUCCCUCGUGAAAUCGGACGGCCUAACCGUUCGGCGUGCAAGGGAUACUGUCGGUCUUGAGGCCGGGAGACGUCCGAGGUACUCCGGGGGUAGCGGUGAAAUGUUCUGAUCCUCGGGGGACACCGGUGGCGAAGGCGUUCGACGAGAACGGGCCUGACGGUGAGGGGCGAAGGCUAGGGGAGCAAACGGAAUUAGAGACCCCUGUAGUCCCUGUCUCUUAUAC